rnacentral:rRNA from 1 species
GAUGAACGCUGGCGGCGUGCUUAACACAUGCAAGUCGAACGGAAAGGCCGAAUCUUGCUUCGGUACUCGAGUGGCGAACGGGUGAGUAACACGUGGGUGAUCUGCCCUGUACUUCGGGAUAAGCUUUGGAAACUGGGUCUAAUACCGGAUAUGACGAUCUCUUGGAUGGGGUUGUGGAAAGCUUUUGCGGUAUGGGAUGAGCUCGCGGCCUAUCAGCUUGUUGGUGGGGUAAUGGCCUACCAAGGCGUCGACGGGUAGCCGGCCUGAGAGGGUGGACGGCCACAUUGGGACUGAGAUACGGCCCAGACUACUACGGGAGGCAGCAGUGGGGAAGAUUGCACAAUGGGCGCAAGACUGAUGCAGCGACGCCGCGUGGGGGAUGACGGCAUUCGGGUUGGAAACUCCUUUCGCAAUCGAGGAAGCCUUGUGGUGACGGUAGGUUGAGAAGAAGCACCGGCUAACUACGUG